rnacentral:lncRNA from 1 species
UUGCCCGUAGAUGACGUGAUAUUGACAUUCCGUAUAGAGUGAAUCGACCUUUAUUCUCACUCUAGAAUGAUUGUUAAAUAUUUCGUGUGCAAAUGUAUCAGUUGAAGUAAAUACACUAGUGAUAGAUAAGACGUUGUUCGCAUGGUUGCUCAAAUGGAGUAAACCUGUACUAUACCUGUUAACUAUCCAGAUUAAAGAUGUUUAUCUGGUUAAAAAAUGAGAAAAAAAUUGUCUUUCCUAAAUUUAAGUUCUGUAGACUCGUUACGUCACAAAACACGUACAGCGCUUACACAACUCUUUGCCUUGCAGCCACGUUGACGUCAGCAAAAGAAUCCCUUCUAUAAUCUGCUGGCAGCAAAAUUGCAGGAAGUGUUGCGACAGGUACUGCAAUUACUUCUUCGUUGGGAGCGGAUUAUUCUGGAUGGAGUGCCGAAAAUAAGUUUUAUCGAUAUCUAUAUAGGAAAAAACUUUGCUAUGGAUCUUCGUAAGAAUCGAAGUUGUUGCUUUAGUGACACUCAGCAUUCUUCCUACGCCUCGGGAGUUUAUACUCUCGUAAGUAAACUGAUAUUUUUGUUUAUAGCAGUGAUGUCAUUAGGGAAGCGCGGCCCACGCUGGGCGACACGCAAUGUUUACAAACGUUUGUUAAAAAAUUACAUUUUUGACAAUUUUUCAAAUAUCUUAUCUGCAUGUGGAAUU